AGUCAACCUCAUUCAGGAAAGAGCCAAACAAAUGCUAUAUCUACUUCUCAAAGAAAUUAUUCACCUUGCACACGAGAUAUAGUCGAUAAAGAAAACAAUUUAUCUAAUGAAGCUAGCAGUCAGCCUCAGCCAGCAACGAGUCAAUCAAAUCAAACUAGCCAACAAAGGAACUCUUUAUCUCCUCCAAGAGCUGUUCUCCAACAAAUUGAUAAUAACCAGCCAAGGAUUAAUGAUAUUUUUAUAACUGAAAAUGUUGAUAUAUCAGAGAUACUAAACAAAUCAUUCGAAGGGAAGUUCAUAAUUGAUACAUAUGCUGCUAAGAGUCAAUUGACGGUAUCACAAAGAAAAAAAGUUGUACACCUCAUCAUUUGUGCUGUUCUAAGAGAUUGUAAAAGAGACUUACAGGAGAGUGAUUUUAUGAUACUACGAAAUAAAAU